AGAUCAAGCUUGCUUUGGUCUGGUGAGAGUGGCGCACAGGUGCGUAACGCGUGAGCAACCUACCCUUGUCAGGGGGAUAGCCCGGCGAAAGUCGGAUUAAUACCGCAUGACAUCAUUGAGAGGCAUCUUUCUAUGAUCAAAGAUUUAUCGGACAAGGAUGGGCUCGCGUGACAUUAGCUAGUUGGUAAGGUAACGGCUUACCAAGGCUACGAUGUCUAGGGGCUCUGAGAGGAGAAUCCCCCACACUGGUACUGAGACACGGACCAGACUCCUACGGGAGGCAGCAGUAAGGAAUAUUGGUCAAUGGACGGAAGUCUGAACCAGCCAUGCCGCGUGCAGGAGGACGGCCCUAUGGGUUGUAAACUGCUUUUAUACGGGAACAAACGUCGGUACGUGUACCGGUCUGAGUGUACCGUAAGAAUAAGGAUCGGCUAACUCCGUGCCAGCAGCCGCGGUAAUACGGAGGAUCCGAGCGUUAUCCGGAAUUAUUGGGUUUAAAGGGUGCGUAGGCGGCCAGAUAAGUCAGGGGUGAAAGUCGGCAGCUCAACUGUCGCAGUGCCUUUGAUACUGUUUGGCUUGAAUUCGGUUGAAGAUGGCGGAAUGAGACAAGUAGCGGUGAAAUGCAUAGAUAUGUCUCAGAACACCGAUUGCGAAGGCAUUAUCUAAGCCGUUAUUGACGCUGAUGCA
rnacentral:rRNA from 1 species